rnacentral:rRNA from 1 species
ACUCUGGGACAAGCCCUGGAAACGGGGUCUAAUACCGGAUACGACACGGGGUCGCAUGAUCUCCGUGUGGAAAGCUCCGGCGGUGAAGGAUGAGCCCGCGGCCUAUCAGCUAGUUGGUGAGGUGAUGGCUCACCAAGGCGACGACGGGUAGCCGGCCUGAGAGGGCGACCGGCCACACUGGGACUGAGACACGGCCCAGACUCCUACGGGAGGCAGCAGUGGGGAAUAUUGCACAAUGGGCGAAAGCCUGAUGCAGCGACGCCGCGUGAGGGAUGACGGCCUUCGGGUUGUAAACCUCUUUCAGCAGGGAAGAAGCGAAAGUGACGGUACCUGCAGAAGAAGCGCCGGCUAACUACGUGCCAGCAGCCGCGGUAAUACGUAGGGCGCAAGCGUUGUCCGGAAUUAUUGGGCGUAAAGAGCUCGUAGGCGGCUUGUCACGUCGGUUGUGAAAGCCCGGGGCUUAACCCCGGGUCUGCAGUCGAUACGGGCAGGCUAGAGUGUGGUAGGGGAGAUCGGAAUUCCUGGUGUAGCGGUGAAAUGCGCAGAUAUCAGGAGGAACACCGGUGGCGAAGGCGGAUCUCUGGGCCAUUACUGACGCUGAGGAGCGAAAGCGUGGGGAGCGAACAGGAUUAGAUACCCUGGUAGUCCACGCCGUAAACGGUGGGAACUAGGUGUUGGCGACAUUCCACGUCGUCGGUGC